AUAGUUGGAACUUUAAUCUGCGC
rnacentral:siRNA from 1 species